GGGGCUAUAAUGCAAGUCGAACGAACUUCCGUUAAUUGAUUAUGACGUACUUGUACUGAUUGAGAUUUUAACACGAAGUGAGUGGCGAACGGGUGAGUAACACGUGGGUAACCUGCCCAGAAGUAGGGGAUAACACCUGGAAACAGAUGCUAAUACCGUAUAACAGAGAAAACCGCAUGGUUUUCUUUUAAAAGAUGGCUCUGCUAUCACUUUUGGAUGGACCCGCGGCGUAUUAGCUAGUUGGUGAGGUAAAGGCUCACCAAGGCAGUGAUACGUAGCCGACCUGAGAGGGUAAUCGGCCACAUUGGGACUGAGACACGGCCCAGACUCCUACGGGAGGCAGCAGUAGGGAAUCUUCCACAAUGGACGCAAGUCUGAUGGAGCAACGCCGCGUGAGUGAAGAAGGGUUUCGGCUCGUAAAGCUCUGUUGUUAAAGAAGAACGUGGGUAAGAGUAACUGUUUACCCAGUGACGGUAUUUAACCAGAAAGCCACGGCUAACUACGUGCCAGCAGCCGCGGUAAUACGUAGGUGGCAAGCGUUAUCCGGAUUUAUUGGGCGUAAAGCGAGCGCAGGCGGUCUUUUAAGUCUAAUGUGAAAGCCUUCGGCUCAACCGAAGAAGUGCAUUGGAAACUGGGAGACUUGAGUGCAGAAGAGGACAGUGGAACUCCAUGUGUAGCGGUGAAAUGCGUAGAUAUAUGGAAGAACACCAGUGGCGAAGGCGGCUGUCUGGUCUGCAACUGACGCUGAGGCUCGAAAGCAUGGGUAGCGAACAGGAUUAGAUACCCUGGUAGUCCAUGCCGUAAACGAUGAUUACUAAGUGUUGGAGGGUUUCCGCCCUUCAGUGCUGCAGCUAACGCAUUAAGUAAUCCGCCUGGGGAGUACGACCGCAAGGUUGAAACUCAAAAGAAUUGACAGGGGCCCGCACAAGCGGUGGAGCAUGUGGUUUAAUUCGAAGCUACGCGAAGAACCUUACCAGGUCUUGACAUCUUUCUGACAGUCUAAGAGAUUAGA
rnacentral:rRNA from 1 species